AGAAACUCGAGCUCGAUCGAGUCUAAAAAAUGGAUACUCGAAGCUCGACUCGAAGAAUUUCCUUUAGGCUCGAGACUCGACUCGAUAAGGCUCGACCUUUAGUCAAGCCUUAUCGAGUCGAGUCUUAUCAAGCUUUUUGACUCGAUUUGACCAAAAAAUGAGAUCAAAGGUGGCUUUUUGGGAAGAUUCAAAGGCAAGCUGGAUUGCUUGACAUGAAACUUUCAAAUUCAGCAAUUACCCACCAACUAGUGGUGCCCACAAGAGCAGCAAAAAAUGGAUGAUUCUAAUUCCUCAUAUCAUAGUUCCUAAGCCACAGUAGGGUAAUAAAAUCUAUACUGCGUAGUUGUAAUUUGUAAAAUAACUAGAAGCUACUACAAAUUAAUGAGUUCAAGUAGUUACAAAAUAACCCUGAAGCAAAUUAAGAGAAUAUAUAAAACCAAUCUUUAUAGUUCAGCAACUACCAACCCCCGCAAGCCAUGAGAAAGCUACAAAUAUUAGACUGAAAAUAUGUAAAGAAGCUAGACAUAUGUAGGCCUUCUACUGGUUUGUAGUUAUAAAAGCUAAAUUGCUCUCUUCGAUAUGUUCUAGACUUGCUCCAAUGCUUUCCAUUACUUAUUCAGGAGCUGAUUACUUUUAUUGAGCUUAUUAAGAAUCCUAGGUACAACUUCUGGAGCCGUACUUUCACUAGAUGUGCACCAGAGAUUGAGAAUCUCCACGGACAAGGAGGUAAAAUUUUCAUUUUAGCAAGUUUUUUCCUUUUUAAUUUUUCUAACGGGUAAAAGGUGGAAUUUUUCCCCAAGGCCUUAACUUUUAAAGGCUGCACAACUGGAGAGAGCUUUCUUGUGUAUAAAAUACAAAGCUUAUGUUAUAUCACACCUAAUCUAAACUACUACAACA